GCGGCCGCGGCCGCGGCCGGGCCGCCCCCACCUGCGCCGCGCUGCGCGCGCACGUACUCGGGCCACGCGGAGCGCAGCGGGCCGUUCCGGGCCUGGCACUGCGCCCCCCCGGCGSCCCCGCGGCCGUUCCCGCCUCCCCCCGCCCCGCCCCCGGAUGUGGCGGCGCGGCCGUUCCGGGCCGUUGUCACCGACGCUCCGCGGUCGCUGGGCUGUCGGCGCGGAGCCGAGCGGGCCACGGGGGGAGCCCGGCCGACUUAAAAGACUAGCAAGCCCUCUUAUAGGGAUGGGUGAUGGAAGACGGAAGAGACUUCACUGGGUAGAGGAAGCUGGCAAAGCAACUAAGCAGAGUUUGUAA
rnacentral:lncRNA from 1 species